UUUCUCAGGAAAACCAGUAUUCGGUUACUUAGGAAUGGUAUAUGCUAUUGCAUCUAUUGGUAUUUUAGGUUU